rnacentral:lncRNA from 10 species
CUCGGGCAGCUGCAGCGGCCACCUGGAGAGCAGUGAAGCCAGUGCGCCGCCCACCUGGAAAGAUUCUCUCUAGAUCCAAAGAAAAACAAGAGGGUUCUUUUUGCCUUCUACUCCUCAAAACACACCAGCAGCUCAGCAAUUGGAGGGGAGGCUGAAGGACAAAAACAUUGCUAUCCCAUAGAGCAACGGUAUAAGAGCCAAUAGAGACUCCUGGCGCUGGAAGUCACGGAUCCGAAAGAAGGCGCCCAAUCAUUUGGUUUCUUUGGAUCGUUAUUGAGUCUUCUGUCAUCAUAGUUCACCCUCCUACUCGAAUGCCUCCCGUGGGGCCCUUACCCUUGCUCUCCUCUGCCUGGAAUGCCCGCCUCUUCUUGCAUUCAAGCCCCUGGGUUCUAUUCAGAUGCUCCAGUUACAAAUGAUAGAUCCAAAAUUGUCUUCUGGAAGAAACAUCACAAAACUUCAAAGGCCAAGAUUAUGCAAAACUGAAGUGCCAAUGGGUUUACAUGGUUCACUCCAGGUGGAAUGAAUCCCUUUACCAUCAUACUUCCAUGAAAUUAGAAAAAAGUUACCUACAUAGGCAGAGAAUUCAACUGUGAGUUGACAAUUAUUUACGAUUCUCUUAACUGGCUGUUUCACAACGUUAUGGAGCUAAGAAAGGAUGAAAGCUUACCACUGCUUGGAUACCAGCUUGAUAAGCAGCUUGGAAUGUCAAAUAUAUAACAAGAAAGGAAAUAUUCUACUUUAAAGGAACAU